CAAAAGGCUCUUUUAAGAGCCACCCACUAUUUCUGUGAAAUGAGCU
rnacentral:ncRNA from 1 species